CCUUAUACAUUCUACUUGAUCUUCAGUACUUAAUGCACGGAUUUACACUCAAUACUAUAUAUAUAACGGUAAAAAACUCGAUAGCACCAAAUCCUUGAUGCUAUCGAUAGUAUCCUAGCCGGACUCUAUAUAUAUAUAUAUAUAAAAGUAUAUAUAUAAAAGAAACACGAGCUGAUUGGCACAUUUUUAUUUUCUGUGAUCUUAAUGCACUAAAUUGUAGGGUUGAUAUAAGCAACUAAGCAAACAAUUUAGAAGUUAUAAGCAAUUAAGUAAACAAUUUAGAAGUAAGGUUGUCUCAAUUGGACGUAUGUGGGGACAAUUCGCCAAAUUAUCUACUUGAGAAUGUAGGAUCUAUUGUCGGGCCUUGGAUUCCAUAUCUCCAGAUAAUUUAGUAAGUUAAUUGAAACUUUUCUUCUUUCAACUAUUAGCAGAUCCCAAUUUUUUUUAAAACUAGUUAACUAAAAAGCCCAAAACAUGCACAAAAAAUUUACAACAAUUUUUUUUAAUUUUUUUUGAUAAAUUUUUAACCUUACUCUAACCAUUUUAGCAAUAAAGUUGCAAUAUUGAAUAGUAAAAACCCAAUAAGGGUUGCCUAAAUCUUAGAAUAGAAAAUAUUUUAUUUGUUAAGUUACUAUGUUUUUUUUUUAAAAAAAAUUUACUAAAAACCCAAUAAGGUUGCCUAAACCCUAAAAUGAGAAAUAUUUUAUUUUCUGAGUUAAUAUUUUAUUUUUAUUUUUUUAUAUGAGUUAUUACUUUUGAGUUAACAUGUCUAAAAUAUAUUUCAAAUUCGUUAAUAGUUGAAAGAAAGUAAAUUUCAACUAUUUUACAAAGUUGUCUGGCGAUGUGAGAUCCAACGCCUACGUGAUAAUAGAUUCCACAUUCUCAAAUGAAUGAUUUGGAUGGAAAAUUUUCCUCGCACAAUCAACCCUCUCUCUAUUAUGUAAACUGAUUUAACCAUUUUAAUUUAGUACUUUAUAUGGCAUAGAAAUAUGGGUGAAUUCAAGGAAAAUUAAGGACCCGCUCAAUUUUCUCAGCAGUAUAUAUCUCUACAAUCACUUCCAUCAAAAGUAUAUAUCUUUUAUCUCCCAUACACGGUACACCCUUUUGCUGCGGUACUGCAAUUUGGUCCACCACUGUAAAAACGAACCUGUCAAAAGGCUCAUUCAAUUUUACAGUGCGAUGGCAAAGGGCUUGGUGGUUGGUACCCAAAAUCCAAGUUCGAAUUCUAGUUGAUUCACAUUUCCAGCUAAUUAAGUUUAUUUCUAAAUAAAAUAAACGAAGCGGGUAGCAUGCUACCUAUCUCUCAAAAAAAAAAAAAUUUACAGUGCGAUGUGGCCCCACCAUCAUAUAUAUUUUACUGUGGGUUGUAGUGUUGUACCAGUACUGUAAGAUCAGUGUGUGUUGAAUAAUAUAAUUUGUAGUUUUUUAAUAUCAAACUCCCUCUCAUGCAUACUGGGGCUUAAAUCUUUUAAUAGGUUUCAGAUAUAAACUUGAACUAAAAUAAAAAUAAAUUAAGUAACAGAAGUAGAAUAUAGCUAAGAGAGGAACUCAAAAUUUACUGCUAUGAUACCAUGUAAAAUUUUGGGAGAGCUUAAUCACUUCAUUAAAAACAUCAAGUUUAUUUGGACAUAUGUAAGAGUUGACUUCUGAAUGUACGUUCUUAAAUACGCUACCAUUAUUUUAUCCAAAAAUACUGUGAUACGAAAAGUAUAUGAGAAAUGCAUGCAUGCAAUCAAGCGCAAGUAAGUUGCACUCAAUUUGGCUAAAUUGGUGCGCAUGAUUGGUGCAGUCAAUCACAACAAAUAAAUAAUUUAUUAAUCAUCGCUAGACUUGUCAAUCUCUAUCUAUACCCACAGAUUACCCACAAAUAUACAGUUAUAGAUAUUAGUUUUUUUAUCCAAAAAAUUAUAGAUAAAACUGGUGAGUAUCCGUUAAAUGGUAGACAUUUUGGACAACCGACCGCGAGUCCCACAUAUACCCGCAAAUAUAUUUUUUAAUUAAAAAAUAUAUAAUCUUUAUAAUAUUGACUUUCUAAUAAUAAAAAUUUUAUUAAUUUUGUAUAUAAAAAUUUGGGAUGAUAAAAUAUUUUUUAAUUAUACAAUUUAUGCGCUUUAAGAUUUUGUAUUGUUUAUUGUAUAUUAUGAUAUUUCAAACAAGAAGUUAUAUUAUACUUUUAAAAAUUUUAUAUAUGUAUUUUGUAGUUGAAAUGUAUUGGAGUUAAAAAUAAGAUAAAAUCUUGCGGGUAACCCGCAUACCCAUCUGCCUGUUUGUUGGCGGAUAUGAAUAAAGAUGUUGACUACUCAAAAAUUUAUUUUAUCCAUACUCAUAUAUAAUUCAUAGAUACAAUAAUCCAUCCGUGAAUUACCCAACUCAUCCAUUUUCCAGUUCUAAUCAUGGCAAUUGAUGAAGGGCUAAUAGAGGUGUAUAUUUGUAUUUUAUACAUCCGGCCCGGUCCGAUUCUUUUAAGACUAAUUAGGGUCGUGUCAAAAUAGGCUUGGUCCAGAUCCAAGUGAUGAUCCUAACCUUGUGGAUCAAUUAAUUAAGGACAAGUCCAAAUCGAAUACACAUGUAUACAUGAAUACCAGCUAUAGUGACCAACCAUGUCCCCCCAUCUCUCGAGCAUAUUCCAAGGUACGUUUUCUCUUUUUUACUGGGGAAUUUGAUACGUUAAAUUUUGCUUCUAAAACCCUGAAAAGGCAUAUAAUUGCUUUGUUAGAUCUAAAUUCUGUUCUUAAUUUCAACUCUAUUGUUACCUAAAAUGUUCGACUGUGAUAUAAAUAAUAUUAUUUUUAGAAACCUACCUACUAACGUGAUCUCAGCUGCUCAGCGUAUUGGAGUGCAGGCGAAGGAGUGGGCUAAUUUUUGUAGAGCCGGAUGACGGCGGUGUUUGCUAUACAUUUUGUUUUGACGCUUGUUUCUGCUUCUACUUUGAUUUUUCUUUUAAGUUCUUUUUUUCUUUGAUUUUUUGCCUUUUUUGAGGCUUUAACUGUCUUACUUUAUAUAGCUAAAUUUAUUUAUUUAAUGAAUAAAACAUGUAGCGUGCUAUCUUUUCUGAAAAAAAAAGUUCAACUGUGUAACUUAUUUGUAUGUAACGUAAUAAAAGGGCAUGUUAAUUAGUUGAAUCCAUAGGAAAAGAACUAAUGGUUUAGUAACCCGUUCUCUUCUACAUUUAAAAUUUUAAACCCUUGAUAUUUAAUACUUGAUCUCUGAUUUUUGCAUGCAGCUUAAUUCUAGCUGUAUUGAAUUUAUCAGGACUACUGAUGUCUUUGUUAGCUACCUAUAUAUAUAUAGCGUGUAAUUUUGAUUAUUCUAUUGAUUCUUCAGCAAUGCAUGUAAUCAUCAGUGAUUAAUUGCUUCAUGUUUGAUUUGCCUGUUUUGUGAAUAAUUUCUGCAUAUAUAUAAAAUUGGGUUUCUGGUUUGGUUACUCCAAUGUAAUAGUUAAAUUUGAAAAGAUCUUGCAGAAUUUUUGUAACGGCGGGUACAAUUAGGGGUUCAAUUAUUGCUACGGCCUACUCAGCCCCAACAAUUAUAAUUUAUACUUAUUUACAUAUAACUUCUAUUACAUUCAAUGAAACAUAUAGGCGAUGCCCUAUACGUUCCUUUCAAAAAAAGAGAUUUUUUGUAGGUUUUUGCGUCUAGCUACUGGAACACCUCCUGAUUCAUUCUCCAACCUACCAAAAUUCUACAAACUAGAGAGACACAAUUGUGAUUUGUGAGAGAAUCGGACAAAUAUUAAUUCCUUAGCCUCUUAAAAAUCUCCACAGGAUGGCAACUCUGAACAUGACAUAUAUAUACAUUCAAUUAACAUGGAAUGAAGUUACAAAAAGAAAUUCAAAAUCAAUAUGACAAGAAUCUAGCUAAUCAGAACGUAACACGACAUGACAUGAUAUGACAAAAAUGAGACACCAGUUAAUUUUUGAGCAUGCGUUUGAGAUACUAUUAAAUUAAGUUCGACUUUUGCGUAUCUUUAUAUAGGCAUGAUCACUAAGGUAAUUGCUGAACACGAACGCAACUUACGAAACUGAAAUGCUAAUAACUUGGGAUGUUCUCUCCAAAUGCUAGUGACUCCGAGUGCAUGCGCGCACAAUAUAUACAUUUUUGUUGUGUAUGGGAGUUCAUGCAAGCUUUUGAGUUUGUCUAAAUGCGGUAUUACUCAAAUGAAAGAUGCAUACAUACUUGACAACAUGAAAUUAUAAAAUAUAAAUAUAGUGUAUCGGCCAGGUUCAUAUUUUAGAAGGGGAUCUAAAAUCCCACCGACAAGCAAAAUUCAAUAAGUUCACAGAUGGUAAAAGCUUGAUAUGUCGAUGUCGCAAACUAAUCCUUACGCUCCAUUGGCUUGAAAACAUCGAAGCUGUUAAUGGGGAGACCGUUACUUCUUUCCUGCAGAAACAAAUCCAAAACCAUACAUCAUCUCCUCCCCAGAGAUACUCCUUUGUUCUAUAUAUAGAAGAAAUAUUUUAUGACUAACUUAGAAGGGUAUGAUGGUGAAUAUAUAGUUGUUCUAAAUGUUAAACUUAACACAAUUUGGUCUCUUAUCUUUCUCUUAACAAGAUUAGUCCCCUAACUUAUGUAAUCUCUGGCAAUGUUGUUCCUAUAUAUAUUAUGCUUCAGGGUUUAUUACACUCUUUUGCUCGUAGCAUGCGUUAGAGUAUUUUAAAUGAAAAUAAACAUAGGGAUGACAUUACAAAAGCUUAGGUAAAUUCAGGCUAAUGUGUUUAAAUGAAAGAUUAGGGAACAAAAUGCCAUCUCUUGGUAGUUUAGGUUAUAUUUUAUCAAAUUCAAAAUUAAUACUUACAUGCGAAAAGGACAUUGCUCUUACCGCUACAUUGUUCUCAGAGGUUGAAACAGUUGAGCAGCGAGGAUCACACUUAGCCCACUACAAUUAAUGGAUCCAAAUCAACAGAAACAUGGAAUAAAAUUUCACAAAGAAAAUUGGUUACUUAUAAGAUUAAUUCAGUACAACAAAUCUGAAAAUCAAAGUUCAUGGAGUAUUGGCUUACAUUUUUUGCAGCCAUGCUAAAGGCCUCUCUGUGAGGGAUAUCAGGUUUCACAGCUUUGAUUCGCUGUAUUUCUUCCCUGUCAUGCAUUUUUGAUUAUCUUAAUUUGAAGGGACCUUGCAGGCUAAACAAUUUACGAACUGGCAAGUAAAAUGACUUCCUACUUAUCAGUCAAGUCUCUUUUUUUUGACAUGACUAACGGUUAUCGAAGAAAACUGAUAGACAGAUCAGACCCAUGAAAAGGUAAAUAGUGCAAUUAUAUAUGUGGCUCUUUCCUCUUUAUUUUUUAUAAUUCCGUGUACGAUUUGCGAAUGCUCAGAGAGGUUUGGCAUGCAUAUUUUCUCUCUUUUUGAAUCAUAUAUAAGACGAGAGAUUAAGAACAUUUGCAUAUGAUUAGGUUGUAAAUACAUUUGAAUUUGGAUCAAUAAAAUAUAUUAUGAUGAAACAUAAGUUAACUAUUGUAUACCUGUAUAUAAAACUGAAAUAACAACGUGCUGGCUACAUUACGAAUUCCUAUUAAAUUUAUGCUGAUAUUAGAUCAUUUACAUUGCUUUAGCCUAUUGUUUUGAUAUGUCUAAUUCAAAAUUUAUUGGUCAGCUGAACCCCAAUCCACUUAACAAAAGAGAAAAAGAACCAUAAUUAAUACAUGUAGAAAAUUAAAACAGUAGAUCAAAUUAUAUGCAAACUUAUGGGGAAAAAUUGCAUAAUUAAUUGUAAAGAGCAUACAAUGUAAACAUUAGUGAUGAUUGAGAAUCCUUAUCAUAUAUAUAGAGACCUUAGGAGUUAAAUUACAUUCUUUAUAAUCCAGUAGAUUGAACCCCUUUCCUUGUUACCCCACCUGUUGCCUCUCAAUCUCUCGUAUUCAUCAUGCACAUGGAAGAAGAAUAUUCAUUCUUCCUGGAUCUUUUUUUUUUUUUAUCAAAUUAAUCCCUUCAUCAGUAAGUAUGUAGGUAUAUUUAUAUGUAACGUACUGCAUUGGUAGGUAUAUAUACAGUCAUAUAUAAUUAUAUAUUAUCAUUAGCAAUAUAUAUCACAAGGUUUGCACUUCUCUAUUCCUGCAAAAGUGUAAAGAAAUUGUGCAAUUCAACCAAAUGAUUUAGAUUUUCUUGCGCAUCCAUCCCUUGCGAAGUAUAAACAUAUGAUAUUUAGUAUUUAUAGUUAGAAAGAAGAUGUGAUAUUAUGUAGCUAUAGAAGUUCAAUUCAUGGAGACUGAACUGGUCAAUUUAUUGUUAUCGAGCUAUUGACGAUUUGUUUCAUUUGGCAUGUUUGGCAGUAAAUCUGUUUCCAUGUAAUCUGCUUUUGUGUAUGUAAGAUACAAAUCUGUAGUUUAGCGAGCCUCCUUAUAUGAUUAUAUAUUUUUAUCUUAACAGUUUAAUGAGCCUUCUUACAGACCGACACGAUAACAGUAUACUGCGACAACUUAGGAUGAGCUCUUGUCAAACAAUAGAUCUCAUGGCACAUAUUGCUGUAAAAGAAUUUCUUAUGCCAGAAAAAAGAAGCACAAGCCUUACUUCAUAAAGCGAUUGUAAGCUGACGGAAGUCGAUGUUUCUUUUCAGGAGCUGCCACCAAGAAAUAAACCAAAAUAGAAAGAGGAAAUUAAAGAGAAUUAAUUUGGGGAAGCAAAAACAGGAAAUUAUUAAGGUUAUAUAUAUGUUCCCGACAUACGUUUAACAACAAAUGGUGCUUUGGUGGUUGUCUGUUCGCUUGACAUCGAUGAGUUAGACGGCGAAGGUUGCAAUCUCCUACAAUCGUUGCAGGGACCCUAAUUCAAAGAAAUUAAAGAGUCAUUUAAUUUUCCUCAGUAUAUUGCCAGCUAUAUAAUAUUCAAAGAAAACAUAGAAGCUAUAAAUUUUCCUCAUUAUAUUGUCAGCUAUAUACAUAAUCAUUUCCAAUCAAUAGCUUAUGUUUCAGUAAACAUAGCCAUUUAAUUUUUUUUUUCUUUGCAAAAAUAUUCAAAGAAAACAAAAAAUGAAUAUAUACAUGUACACAUAUAUCUAUGAGCAUUUUUGGACUAUUAAUAUUAUAUCGAUAUUCUUAACAUAAAAAAAAGGGACGAAAAAAACAGUUUGCACUAAUAAUAGGUAAGAAAAUUAAUUCGGCAAAAGUGGGAAAUAGCUGAACCUGAAAACACAUUUGUUGAUGAUCAGUAGGGCAAACGGGUUGCACCAUAGGCCUUGGGCUAAGGAAGGAGAGAUUGUUGCAGUGUCCACAUUUCACAGUAACAGUGUCCAUUAUCCUCUUGCAUGGAACCCCAACCUGAAAACCAAAUCCAUCACACCACAUGGGAUUAUUAAAAACAUAAAAAGCAAGAUACUCUUUGCAUGCACCCUCCCCCUAUAAAUUUAUAAUAUAUAUUAUUCUCAUGCAUUUUAAUUUUUACUUUCUGGUAGUUGUAGAUCAACCCUAGGGCACUUAGCCGUAUAGGGGACACUUCUUUUAAUGGGGAAAAUAUAUGAACUACUCUGAGGACAAGCCACUACAGUCGCACGUAAUCUUCUUUCAUAAUUAACUUUAGGUUUGAGAGGUCCAAUCCAAAGAAAUUAAGUAUAGAGUCUAAGGCAUUGGUCGAAGGGGGUAUAAUUUAAUUAAUUCCAAGUCCACAAAGCUAGCUAGCUAGAUAAAUAUGUUACAAGGUUGAAAGAUGCCCUUUUUUUUUUAAUGCAAUACUGUACAACCCUGUUGCAUUAAAAAAAAAAAGAAGAAAAAAAGCUAGUUAGAUAAAUAUGUUAAAAGGUUAAAAGUAAAGUGAUCGCUUGACCAGAAGAAACUAGAGUUGAUCAGAGAGAGAGAGAGAGAGAGAGAGAGAGAGAGAGAGAUGAUAUCAAAUGCAUGCAUAAAGAUCUGCAUAGAGAGAAAGAAAUGUUGGGUAAAAAUGAUCCAGCAAUCACAAACACGAGUGGAUCGAUCUCUUUCUGAGUAUUCUCGAAGAGAUCAUUACCGCGAGAACGGUGUUACAGUAGGUGCAACGAACGUAGCAAAGGUGCUCCGAGGGAGAAACCAAGUCCAUGAUCGAUGAGGAGAAGUAAAAGAAGAUGAGGAUGAGGAUGAGGAUGAGGAAGAAGAAGAGAGGAGAGAAAAGCUAGCUAGUGAAUUAAGAAGGGAGAGAGUGGGUGGGGGAGCUUCUUAAAGAUUCCAAGAGAAAUAGACGCCAUGGGUAGGGUUUCCAUUACAGCAAUAAUGCCCAGGGAGGGAUGCCCCACAGCAAGGGUUGUACGGACGAGCCAACACCCCAGCUAGCUAUAGCUACACAUCAUUAUAAAGUAUACGGCCUAAGCCACUACUACUACUUGGUUUCUCGCGCGAUAUGUAAAAUGUAUACAACUUUAAAAAGGAGUGGAAUUAAUCUCAGUGGAAUUAAGAACUACUACGGGACUUAGUUUGAUCCUGUGGAUCAGAGCUCAAUUGCGGACCUUUUUAGUCAUUAAUUGGUAGUGCAAUCUCCUCUUCUUUACAUGGUCACUAUUUAAUUAGAAAUCACUUUAUGCGUUUAUAUAUAUAUAUAUAUAUAUAUAUAUAUAUAUAUAUAUAUAAGGGUUCGAGGCCACCUUCUACGUUCUAAUUAUGAUGUGACGUACGUACUUAUGUCAUGCAAAUAGUGUUUAUAAGUGAUGAAGUAUAAAGGAUUAGCUUUUAAUUAAGGCUUGAAGGAAAUAUUAGACAUAAAUACUGAACCGUUUAUGUAGAUCAGAAAAAUAUUACAAGUGUUGGUAUUUGAUCCAUCAAAUAAUUAAGAAAAUAUGUGUUUGAAAUAGUAUGAAUUAUUUGGUAUGUCUAUAAAGUGUAUUUUAAUCGUUUCAGCAAAAAAGAAAAAAAAGAAAAGAGCUUUUCAGUGCUAUAGAAGAAUAUGAGAAUGAAGGUAAGUAUUCACGUUUGUAUGCGAAUAAUUGGGAAAUCGUUGACGAAUUUAUUAAGAGAAAUGCUGAUGUAAAAUUCCUAUAAUCUGCUGGUGUGUUCGACUGCGUCUUCUCUCUCUUAUUAGAUUAUCUUAAGAUUUAUUGAGAACUUAUGAAGUUGAGUAUGUGGACUCUUAUCUUAUUCUCUUUUUUAGGAUAGGAAGGACAUAAUCUUUUUUCUGUUUUGUUUGAUGUGAUUAUUAACUUCGAUUUUGUGUCUCUGAUUCAUUGACAACUUGGUGGUGCAACAAAUUUGGAAAAAAAAUUUGUAAAGAAAAGAAUUGAUGUCUGUGGUGCAAGAGGUGAAGCACCCUAUGGGACAAAUCGGACCCAAUAAUGAAGAAAUCCGUUAAUAAAUUUUCUUCUUUUUUUUUUUUUAGAUGCGAUACGGCGUAAUUGUACUUCCACAAACAUUAUACUCCCUUUUUUGUUGUAAAAUUCUCUCCUCCUUCGCCUAUAUUUUUUUUUUUUUUCCCUACAAAGGGUUUUUCCACGUAAAUCCUUAUGCCCCAUUUUAGAUUACUAUUUUUUGUGGUUUGUCUACUUUCAGAUCGUCAUUUUUCGUUUUUGUUUGUGCGCUCGCUUCGUUGUAACAGUUUUGACGGUUGUUCUUGUAGUAUUUCUAUUAUGUUUUGUAACCUACUUUCUUUCCAUGCAUAAUAAGGAAUCCUCCUAUGUUUUAAUUUCAAAAAAAAAAAGAAGCAUGAAUCUUUCCUGUUCUUAUAUUGAUAGAAAGCUUGUGUACUAGAACCUCCUCUUUUAACUCGCAUGAAGCCAACCUCACAUUUUCUAAAGGUCGCAUGCAAAUUAAUGUGCCAUUUUGUUGUGGCAUGAAGAAAGUCUCGCUAGUAGUUCAUUCACACCGUGUGAUGGUUGUUUGUCUGACCAGCUGAUGUUUGAAGUUAGGUCAGAUUCACAAUAUGAAAGAAUCUACUUAGCCAAAUGCAUGUUAAGUGAAUAAUAUAUAUAUAUAUAUAUAUAUAUAUAUAGAGAGAGAGAGAGAGAGAGAGAGAGAGAGAGCUUCAUUUAUUAUUUUAGAAAUAAACUCAACUAAAAAUGUGAUGCAACUAAGAUUCAAACUUGGAACCUCGAUCGAAUACCAAUCAUCAAGCCUUUAGCCAAUUCACUGAGUAUGGUUGGUGAAUAAUAUUAUGGGGCAAUAAUGAGAAGUUCUUGAUAUCUGAGUUUGGCAUGCAGUUUGAAUGGUUUGGAGUGUGCCAAAGCUAGCAAAUAUUAGUAGGCUACAAAUAGAGACAAUUAUCAUUAAUAGAUUGGACAUGGCUUAUAAAUUACUUGAUUUUGGUGUGCCAAAGCUAGCAAAUGUUAGUAGGCUGCAAAUAGAGACAAUUAUCAUUAAUAGAUUGGACAUGGCUUAUAAAUUACUUGAUUUUGGUCUCUUCGUUAGUAGUAUGCGGAGAAAAAACUAACCAAACUUAUUAUGUCAUGCUUAAUUAAAAAAAUUUAAUCAAGUAUCACAAGGGUCAGCCACUAAAAAUAUGUACAGUAAUCUAUUGAAGCUUGAUUAAAAAAAAAAAAAAAACUUAAUUUUAAAUCUGUGUGGCUUUGGCAAAUCUUUUUUUUUUUUGAGAGAGAUAGGAAGCACGCUAUCCGCUUCGUUUAUUUCAUUUAAAAAUAAGCUUAGCUGAAAAUAUGAAUCAACUAGGAUUCAAACUUGGAACCUCGGGUAUCAACCACAUCAAGACUUUUGCCACUUGCUCUAGGGACGGUCGGUGGCUUUGGCAAAUCUUGAUCAUAGAUUUUUGUUUGAGUAUUCACAUGGAAACUAAACACCAAACUAGUGCACUCUAGUAUAUUUGUGUCUCACCUUAUUUAGGUUGUGGUCCUAAAAAUUUUUGUUAGGCUAAGAGAAAGUAACCUAACUAGAUAUCUUGACAUGCUAAGUGUGUUAUUGCCACUGGUUGAUAAAUUUAGCUCGGGUAUGCAAGCUGUACUAAAAAUAAAAACUUUGAAGGCUCAAUUGAAGCUGUAAAGCUCUUAUCUCAUUUGAUAAUCUCGUGUAACAACACAGUAGGAGUUGAAGCAAAAUGAAAAAAAAUUAUUAUCAACUGAACUGUUUUCACUGAGUUCAUAUUUUUUUUGAUCGACGAAUAUAAAUUGUUAAUUAAGUCGAUUGCUUCGGACAAAGCAAAACGAGCAAAGCGGUAAGCACAGUGCAUGAAUAUGUAAAACAGUUCAGGAAAUGCAUGUACGUAGAAGUCUUGUAGUUCCUAAUUACUACAUCCAAAACUUCCAUUGAGCCAAAAAUAAGGAGAUAUCAUGAUCUAGGCCCAACGGCCCCAACCCCAUAUGUUCAUGCACCUUGUUUUAACAUGAUAAUCACUCCAAAUUAAAAUCUAAUAAGCUGUAAAUUUUUAAAACAUAGAUUUCUUUUUUUUUUGUGCGAGUUAUAAAACAUGCUUUCGUAUAUAUAUUUAAACUGUACGUAUAUGUUACAAUGCAAUAUAUAUAUAUAUAUAUAUAUAUAUAUAUAUAUAUAUAUAUAGUUGCUGGGCAGCUGGGAGAUUGAUAUUGACUUGCCAAUAAUAAUUAAGUCAACUCAGAAUUUAAGUGAAAUGAAAUAUAUAUUAUGCAAAAGUGCACCAAAUCAUCUCAUAUAUAUGUCCUAGCUCCCGGCCAUCCAUCCAUUCUAUCAUAUUUUAAUCACCUUCAACCAAUUGUUAAAGUUGCUUAAACGCACCUAAUACAAAAGCUAAAGCUGGUAGGUAGAUGGAGAGAACCUUGCACAUUAUAUACGGAUCAAAAUUCUUAUUCUCGUAUUUUUAUUCAAUAUAGAACUAGUAAUCUUAUCGCUCUGCUUAACAUGUAUUAGGUGUUAUUAGCGCCCGACACCAAUCAAAUGCAUUAAGAAAAAUUCUAGAUGCUACAGCACACGUACGGCACAAAAACGAAUAAAAAGCCACGUGCAAGAAGUUACCAACAUAUAAUAUGACACAAAACUACUAGGCACCGACCGUUCCUAGAGCAAGUGGCAAAGGGCUUGGUGGUUGGUACCUGAAAUCCAAAUUCGAAUUCUAGUUGAUUCACAUUUUCAGCUAAGUUUAUUUCUAAAUGAAAAAAACGAAGUAGGUAGCUAUGCUACCUAUCUCUCAAAAAUAAAAAUAAAAAAAACUACUAGGUGGAAAUCCAAAAAAGUAUACAAACUAGCUUCGAUACUAUGUUAAAGGCUUCAGAACUCCCAGAAAAACUUAAACUGAUAGAUGGACUAAUCCUUACAUAUAUAGUACAUACAACUCAGAAGUUGUAUUAAUUUGCAUCCAAUAUAUAUGAGAAUAACACGCCUUACAAUGAGUGAAAGUCUAUUAAUUUAGUUUCAAAAUUAACCAAAACAAAGCAUAUGGUGAGCAAUUGAACUAUGAGAUCGAGAGAUCGAUAUAGAGCAGAAAGAAUAGUAGGUGGUAGCUGGAAAUGUGAAUCAAUUAGGAUUCGAACUUGAGUUUCGGAUACCAACCACCAAGCCCUUUGCCACUUGCUCUAGAAAUGGUCGAUAUGUGCGAGAUGACGUGGUGCACCAUCUGUAGGGAACAGCCUUUAGAUGGCGCGGGGUGGCGUAUGGAAGUGUGAACCCGGCCAAACGAUCGAGGGUGGGGAUCAUAAGUCGCUAUCUUUAAAGGAGGUGGGGAUGGAAGGCGUGAUGUGACGAUUCCUCGGUUUCCAUUAGGGGAAAAAGGAGACCUCUCUCUAACCCUACCCCCUCUCUUUCCCACUUCGUAUAACACCCCCCCGCUUUUACCAACAACACUGUAUAUAUAGACUCCUUUUCCGUAUCCUCCUCUCUUUUAACUCUACAAACUCUCGUCCACAUCCCGUGCACCACGUCACCCAUGCACAGCGCUAGCCCAUCUCUCCUUCCUCGCUCUCAUAAGUCUAUAUAUAUAUCUAUAUAAUGUUAAAAAUAUUAUUUUUUGACAUCAUAAGUUGUUGGAGAUAAACGAUCGUUUAACCCGUAUGUUCGAAUAAAGAAUUUAACUUUUGAGGUGGUCGAAUUUUAAAGGAGAAAUGAGAUGGAGUGAGAUGAAGAUGACACCAUGGAGCAUGGUGCAUACACUGGGUGCAAGAAAUGAUCUCUCAACUCCUCUCUCUCUUUUAUAUGUGGGUUUCUCUCUCUAGAGUUUGGACCUAGAGUUGUAUAGAUAGGAAACUAGCUAGCUAGGUAGUAGACUAUAAUGUUGAAGAGGCUUGGGGGAGUUUGUCGCCUUUAACGGAUUUGUGCACAAUCAUUAGAACCAAGGGGGCCUCUCACUUUCACCUAUUUUAGGAAAGGUUUAGUUGAUUAGACAAGCCCUAGCUUGUACAGCAGAGUAUGCAGUGUUUGCCUUGGCAGAUCCCAAAACGGCUCCCUCAAUAUAUUCCUAGGGAAUUGAGUCGAUUGACCAAUUCACCACACAAUUUCUUAGGUCUCUAAUUUAAAGGUAAUAUAUUAUUUCAUAAAAUAAUGUCAAAGUAUAGUGUUACUGUAAAAUAAUAGCUAUACUUUAAAAACUUAAGUUGUUAGAGAAUAAUGAUCAUAUAUUUUUAUAUUUAACAUUUUCCUCGUAUCUAAGGUCAAGAUUUUUUGUAAGACUUGUGACGUGAAUUGGGAGAAAAUUAAUAAUGUUAAAAGUCGUGUGAUUUGAACUCAGAACCUUUUGUUCUAAUACCACAUAAAAUAAUCGUCAUACUCUAAAAACUUAAUCUGUUAGAGAAGGGUGUUUAUAUAUUUUUAUAUUUAACAGUUACUAAAAAAGGCGCCAUUAUACUAAGACAUGUCUAAAAAUAUUUCUAAAGUUCAAAGAAUCAAAUUGUAACUUUUGUUUUCCAAGGUUCAGAUUCUUAUUUCUACUUUGCAUUUUCAGUGAAUAUUUAGAUUAUUCUCUUUAGAGAACCUUUUGCUGGAAUCUAUUGUUGCUGAAAACAGUAACGUACUUAUGACGGCCAAACAAAACAGCGUAAAAAGAUAUCAAUGAGAGAAUACUUGAGAGAUUGAUUUUAUUUUAUCAACAUGUGAUUCUAUGUUAUUGUUUAGGUUUAAUAAAGACUUGCUAUUAAAACAUAGUUGAAAGCUAGCAUUAUAGGAUUUAAGAUACAGAAAAAAAAUUUAAAGGCAUCGUUUUUUGAUAUAGAAUAGAGUGCAUGUAGCAUUUUGUUCGCCGUCUCUAAUAAUAUUCUAAUAAAUCAUAUAAAACAAUAGCACAUGUGAAGCAAAUUAAAAGCGUCGACACACUUUCAAUCAUAGGAUGAUAAUGUAAAAUCGAGCUACAUAUAUAUACACUACAGGUAUGUACAUAGUUUUUUUGAGUAGCUGAGUAGCUGCAAUAUUAAAUUUAGUCAAUCAUACCUCGUGUAUAAUUCAAAUUAGUUAACUACAUCUAGCUAGCUUGUUAAUAAUAAAUUUGUAAUAUCAUAUUACAAACUAGUAUAGGAGGACUUAAAUCCUAUAUCUACUCGUGGCUAUGAUAUUACUAGGAUUUAAAUCCCAUACUUGCAAUAUCAUAGUCACAGCAUAGUGACAUCUAAAAGCGAUAAUUAAUUGAUGGAUGAUUUCGGUUUUUUGUUGCUUUAACAAAAGACCUUAAAUCAAAUUUCACCAAUUUGUUGAAAAUAAUUAAUUAUAAGAAGAAUUGAUUUCUCAGUAUUUAUUCAUUAACGGGUAAAUUAUACUAUUAGUUUCUAAACUAGUGCUCCUAUUUGAUCACUUUGAUUUCUUAACUUUUCCAUUAGGAUGUUUAAUUAAUUGAACUGUUAAAUUGCUAUGACCUACUAUCAUCUUUAGCUUUCAUUAUUUAAAAAGAUGAAAAUCUAAUAUGUCAUGCUAUGUUGGAUAUGAAUAUUAAUUAAAAACACCGUUCACUAAUAGCUUAAACUAUCAUGUUGUUAUCAUUAUUUAACAUGAUAUGAGAGUAGUGGAUCAUGAGUUUGAGUUCUAUCAUGUUGUUAUCAUUAUUUAAUUUCCUUAUGUUUAAUUUAAGUCCAUGUUUUGGGACUAUCAAAAAGCCUCGAUACCAUGUGGAAGGAGUGAUGAAUAUAAAUAUUAAAAACAUUAUUCUUUGGGGUUUUUUAUUGUGGGAGUUUCUAUCAUUGAUAUAUGAGCUCAAAUAUUUUUUUAAAAUAUUUUUGUUUGACUUGAAUAAUCUAGUUAGCCUAGUUAUUUUGGAGCAAACCCAGGCUUAAAAUAUCUUUGCUAUCUAGGGCAAAAUACGUGUCAUCGAAACUAACUUACUCUCCCAGGAGUAUAUAUGCUAUCAGUUAAUUCGUGCAAUUCAAUUUUGACUAUAAGAAUAUGAGAAUGGCAUUAGAAAAAUAAUGAAUGCAUUGACUAGAAGUUUAGGGUUUUAUAAGUCAACAGCUUAUUGUAACUCAAUGGCGGCUACCCAUGAGAUAAUGUGAAAAAUUAAUAUAAGCACGUACGUGUAUGUGUGUGUGUGUAUAUGAUAUGCUAUUAUAUAUACUAUUAAUAUAUAGUAUCAAGUCAUUAGUACUAUUAGGUUUUCGGUUCUUGCAUGAAGCGAUGUGCGGUUAGGAUGAUAGUGAUUUUUUAUGGUUAAGUGGUUGGUUGAAUAGAAUAAUCUAAUGGUUGAAAUGGUCAAUGGGGCAGAUUUAAUAACGAAAAACUUGAUAGAGCACCAAGUGCUUGGUGCUAUUGAUAGUAGUACUAUAGUACAGUUGGAAGCUUGAGGUUGAACAUUUUAGCCCGUGUUGAUAAAGCUUGUUUAAUUGUCAAAGUACUAACGAUACCAGCAUACAUAUCCAGCUUAAGGAAACUACUGUAAAAACAAAUUCUACAACAAUUUGCAAAAUUUGAAAGUAAAUGAGUUAGGUCUUGUAUUUCCAUGCAAAAUCAUCAUUUUGUGAUUGAUGCAUGCUUUUCUACUAUUCAAAUACGGCCACGUAUGCAAGUUUUUGUAAAAUGUUAUAGCUUGUAGGCAUAGCAUUGUCGAAAAAAUUAACGCAUGAAUGGUGAAUAUUAUAACUAAUUAUGUUGUCCAUCUUUUAUCUGAUGGAAAGAAUUCAUUAUGUCGACAUGCUUUCGAUUUGGAGCAGACUCACGAUAUGAGGAUCGAUGCAAAUUCAAUAAGGAUUAAUGGUUCAGAUUAACCUUUAAACCAUUUUCUAUUUUGUUUGGAUUAGUACCGCGCGCGUGCUCCUGCAUUGAACCCAAUCUAAUUAUGAGAUCAACACAUAUAGGACCCACAUGUUAGCUCAAAACCGUGACAUACAUAUCCGAGUCAACAUUGUACAAUCGAUUAGUUCAUUUGUAUUCUGCAUAACAAGUGUUGUAGCCAAAUCUUACCGAUCGAGCACUGUUAAGCUCAUUUUAGUUUGCCCUUGUUGCGUCUUUGUGCUACCUAAUUAUUUCCAAGUAUAUUGUAAAUUUUCUUUUUUGAAAAGCUAUUGAUAUGUUGCCAAACACAACACACACACACACACACACACACACACACACACACAUAUAUAUAAAGCUAUUAUGCUUUCGAAAGCAUAACAGAAUUCGUGUUUUCAACUUUUUAGCCCUUAUAUCAACCACUUUAAGUAUUUUUAAUCUUUGGAUUAAUAUUAUUAUCCUAAGGAGACCACUCAAUCCUAGAGAAUCACUCAAUCCUAAGAGGGAUCACUAUCAUUCGGACCCUACAAUAAAUUGUUGACGUGCUGACUUGCAUACAUAAAUAUAUAUAUUCAUAGCACAAAACGGUUGAUUCAUAUAUAUAGUAUAAUUGUUACAUUAAUUAGCAACUCAUGUAGGAGCAUUACUCCCUUCCUCUCUGACCUCUCACUAAGAUUUAGCCUUUAGAUUCUGACAAAAGAGAUAUGGCUACACAGAAAGUGCCAUACAAUAUAGGAUAAAGUAAGUUUUCUUAAAAUAAAAGGGGAGAGAGAGAGAGAGUAUAUGUUGAAUAGCAUGGUCCCUACACCCAUCUGAUGAAGAGAGAGGGCCUCUUUGGCUUUCCUUUGAUGGACAGCACAUGCCUCACAGUGAUUCAGCUGUACUAUUUUGAUCUACAAGGAGGUUGGGUCAAUCAAAGAGGAGAAGAAGAGAUGGACAUAAAAAUUUAUUCUCCCCCAAAAAUUUUGUAGGAAAUUUAUUUAAAUAGGAUUUUUGAUUUGAUAUAGAAGUGUUUUUUUUUCCCUGAAAUUAACUUACUUAAUAUUUAAGCCUUUUGAUUUGAUAUGGAAGUGUUUUCCCCUGUUGACAAAUAAUAGAUAUGAGAGUACGUUACAUUACACUUUGAUAAUAUGUUGGUUUAUAAUGACUCAUCGAAAAGCGGUAGAAUGUCAAUUUAGUAGAAGCUAUGCUUCGCUAAAACAAGUAACUAUGCAAAAAUAAUUUUGAACAAAAAUGGAUUUAUUUAGGACCUCUCACAAUUACGAAAAUAUAUUUUAGAAAAACAAAAAAACUGAAUUCAUGAUGCUCUUGACUUACCAACCAAAUUUCAAUAUCUUCAAGACAAGUACCCCUUAUAACCAAUCACUUUUUCCUUCCAUGACCAGUUUUAUAUUAAUCAUUGUUAGAAGCUACUUUUGUUGGCAUGUUACAUCCUUUUAGUUAUCUCAAAGCAUAAAGUGUUAUUCUAUUGUAAAAAUUUCGCCCUAAUAGAGCUUCUACAGAAUUAUCUAUAGACAGUAGAGAAUCACGAAGAGCCUUAUAAAUUUUCGUUGUUAUCCUUUUCAAUGAUUUUACAGCAAAACUAGAAACUCCAAAUCUCGUCCCUUUUGAUCUUCCACUCUACUUUGUAACCUCUAAAAUUUUCCACUACUUUUCAAGUUGAGGAGUUGUUUCAGAAGCACAGUUAGCCAAAAAAUUAAAGCGCCUAAACCAUUAAUCGUGAAUCGACGUAAUUACUCACAUAUAGUGAUUUUAGAUUCUACUGGCUAUAUGUGCUUGUACUGCCUGUGUGGAGACUUAAGGACCACUUAACAACUAGUAUUAAUUAACACAUGUAGGCUCACUACCCUUUUUUCUCCUUGAUUAUAUAGCAAACAGUAAGUUUUAGCACAUACACAUAUACAAGGACCACUAACCUUGUUUCUCCUUGGUUAGCAAUGAUGCUUGAUUUGUCCCCAUCAUGUUGGGUAUGGGCUUACGAAAGCCACAUGUUCUCAUGACCUUUUUGCAUGGCUGAUCCAUAAGCCAACACAAGGAGAGCUAGUGCUCUUUCAGAAGUUUCAAGUUAAAACUACAUUUCAUUUUAGCUUCUUAAUUUAGUCUUCUUAGAUCUGGGAAUAGUAAAUAUUGAGCAGUGAUAAGAAAAGAUAACAAAUUGAAUACAAUGUUAAGAUUAGAAUAUCAAAGAGUACAUCUAGAUACAUGUACCAUGAUUUGUCGUUAUUACAGUUUUCUUUCUAUUAUUAUUAUUAUUAUUUUCUCAUUCAAUUAAUGCAUGCAUGGGCUUAUAUAUAUAUAUAUAUAUAUAUAUAUAGAGCCUUCGUUCUCUUAAAUCAUUUUACAUGAUAAAAAUUUCUAAUCGAUGAUCAAAACCGUUAAAGUUAAUCUAAAGUACUAUUUAAAUCAUCUAGAAACUAUUUUUUAUAAAUUUUAAAAUUUAUUUACGUAGUGAUCAAAGAAUCACAAAAUUGAUAAUUUUUUGAUGACCUAUAUGAGCCGUUUACUUGUUUUACGAUAUAGAGCAAUCCAAAUUGUUUAAAUUUUUAAUAAAUUUUUUUUAUAAUACUAUUUAGAUAAUAUUUGAUAACUCCGAUCAUAAAUUAAAAAAGUCUAACAUCUAAUUCAAAAGGUCAUUUGUUUUUGACCGUUUAUUUUUUAACUCUUAAAUAGGCUUGGUUGAUUUUUAAAACUUAUGAAAUUUAAUUUCUAGACGUUUUAAAGAACUAGAUCAAUUUUAAUGUUUCGCUCAUCGAUUCAAAAUUUUUAUCAUCUAAAAUGACUUAACAGUACGAAGACAUCCGUCCUCCUAAAAGAUCGUAGGUGGAUUACAU
rnacentral:lncRNA from 1 species